AGCGGCUUUAUUUAAAGUUCCUGUAUCAUGCUCAUUUUCAGGUUCAUAAUUGUAUACAAAGCUUGUACCAGAGUAGGUUCAUAUGGUUUAAUUUUCAAAAAACACUAUAUUUUUGUUGUACUGCACAUUGCUGCA